CACGUAGUUAGCCGGUGCUUCUUUACCCAUUACCGUCACUCACGCUUCGUCACAGGCGAAAGCGGUUUACAACCCGAAGGCCGUCAUCCCGCACGCGGCGUUGCUGCAUCAGGCUUCCGCCCAUUGUGCAAUAUUCCCCACUGCUGCCCCCCGUAGGAGUCUGGGCCGUAUCUCAGUCCCAAUGUGGCCGGUCACCCUCUCAGGCCGGCUACCCGUCAAAGCCUUGGUAAGCCACUACCCCACCAACAAGCUGAUAAGCCGCGAGUCCAUCCCCAACCGCCGAAACUUUCCAACCCCCACCAUGCAGCAGGAGCUCCUAUCCGGUAUUAGCCCCAGUUUCCUGAAGUUAUCCCAAAGUCAAGGGCAGGUUACUCACGUGUUACUCACCCGUUCGCCACUCGAGCACCCCACAAAAGCAGGGCCUUUCCGUCGACUUGCAUGUGUUAAGCACGCCGCCAGCGUUCGUCCUGAGCCAGGAUCAAACUCU
rnacentral:rRNA from 1 species